AAAGUGCCGCCUGAUCCAACAGGAGUGGAAUACAGGGCAGAAAUAUGAGCCACUGGUCUAGUGUGAAAUUUUCUAGUAACCACAUUUUAAAAGUGAAUAAAGAGAUGGAAUUAAUUUCAUAACAUAUUUCAACCCAAUAUAUCCAAUAUACUAUCAUUUCGACAGGUAAUCAAUACCCAAGAUUGUGAGAUACUGCAUUUUCAAUAUUUUGCCCAUUUGGUCUUUGAAACAUCUCAGCUGUGACAUGGCCAGGGUCUACCACGCUGGGCAUCACAGCUCUGGAAGACACACCAUAGAAAAUGCAAACACAAAAUACUCCUCUUUUUGUCCCACUGGGGCUGCCGUGAUACAAACAUGUCUUGUAAGAGCCAGGAUAUAUUUCUGUCCCUCCUCUGUUCUGCAGCCCAGCGCCUGGGCCUGUGUGUGGUCCUUGUUAGAGACUGAGAGCAGGCAUAGUUCAGGGCAGGACGUGUUCCCCACUUCGAGGGUCAAGUGCGCCUGGGAUGUGGGUGCAGACAUCUGCCUGAGGAGCAGAGAAUCUGGCCACAGCGGCCUGGAGGAUGGCGGCUGGAACACCUGCCACCCCCACCUGCGUCUGCCCUCUGCCUGAGGCGGAAGAGAAACUCCGGGCACAAGGCCCUGUCCCAUCCUCUCGGGUACGUGUGUGAGUUCUCCAACGAGGGAUUGGGACAGGUGGCUGGAGAAAUAACAGUUGGGACAACUGAAUAACUACAUGCAAGAUGAUGGAGAUGGAUCCUUACCCAACACCAUAUAAAAAUAAGAUCACAAUAGAUCACAGGCCUAAAUGUAAGAAGUAAAACAAUAAAACUAACGAAUAAUGGAAUAGACCGGAGGUUUC
rnacentral:lncRNA from 1 species